rnacentral:lncRNA from 10 species
CUCAAAUCAAUAGACACAGAUACACAGAAUUGCAAACUACAACUACGCUGACUAACUUCCGACUAGCAGAAAUCCAGAAGCUGGAAAACACAUUCUGUUAGCCAGGCUGUGGGGAAAUCGUCUCACACUGCUGAUAAGAACUCAGCAGUAUCCUAACAAUCACAUGUGCAUUUGCUCUCUGACCCAGCAACCCCAGCUCUAGGAACCCACCCUGAGGAGAAUUCCCAGAGUCACACAAACAUAGGGCUGUUCACAGAAUCAUUACUAAAAUAGCACACACUUCAAACAACUCCAAUGCCCAUCACAAGGAAACUGGCUCAAUCAACUAUGGAAGCCCACAAGAUGGAGUGUAUGUAACGCUAUUACAUUUAAAAAAAAAAAAAAAAAAAAGAACAAGGCAAACUUCUGUGAACUGUUAUGGAGUGAUUCCUUACAAAGCGAAGUGAGCAACGCCGCCUGCAUCUCUUUUCCAGAAAGAACCUACUGUUCAGCCAGGAGAAGUAUGUGGGUCAACAGUCUCAGGAGCAGGACCAGGCCGCUGGUGCCUCAUGUCGGCCUCCAACUGCUAACCCUUGCCCCAGAGCACCCGUGGGCUGGCCAUGAGUUCGGCAAAUGUGCCUCACAGUCUGAGGCUCUCCCUAAUUCUACUUCCUCCCUGCUGGAUUUUCCUAUGUGAUAGCCCCCCCAAAAUGUUUAUGUUCCUAACUCCAUCCCAGUGUCCACUACCAUUUGUGGAACAAAGGAGAAAUUAGGAUCUACAGCCUUGUUGACCUGGGCGGUGCUUGUCAAUUCUCAGCAUGGGCAAGAGGCCAAGUCUAGGUUCUCCCUGGACAGAAGGCCGUGGCUGGAGGACAGAGAAACAUGGGUUUUGGUGAUCUUGAAGGGCUGUAGUGAUAAAAUUGGACCUCAGAUGAGCUUCAAAACCAGUUAAAGUCUGCUUUAAGACAUAUGUCAAAUUCUAAAGCUACCCCAGCAGACAGCAAAAACCAAAAAUCUCUGAAACGCAGAGUUUUCCUUACUCCCCUGGUGUAAGAGACAAAGAUCAGGGUACGGAUCCACAAGAGGGAUGGACUGUGCAGAGCAUGUCAGGCUUAUGGAAACCCUGCGCUCCAGAAUAAGGGCAGAACAAAGGGAGACCAAGCCUUGCCAAAACUGAAAUGCAUCUAAGCCCAGCUCCAAGUGGAUUAAGAAGACCAUUCAGCAUGCUACCUUCCCAGCAAAAGAAGACAUCAUCAGUGAAACCACCCAUAAUUUCUAAUACACUGCGUGAGACAGUUAAUGAAAAACACCAGGCAUGCCAAGACAGGACCAUGUGACGGAAAAACAAAAGAACAGAACAAAUGGACAAUAAAAACUGACGCACAGGUGAUCCAGAGACUGCAGUUAGCAAACAGUUUUUAAAAUAACUCAGUAGUAUGUUGGAAAAAACAGAAGAUGGAGAAAAUACAUAAAAAGACUUGAUUCAAUACAUGAAUUAUAGCAAAUUAGAGCAGAAUUAGCAGGACAAAUGGAAGCAGAUCAGUAUAAACUAUCUGUAUUAAAGCUCAUGGAGAAAAAAACAGAAACUAUAAAACAGGGUGCAAGAGACAGAAAGGACAGACUGAAAUGGUCUAAAACACUUAUAGAUGGAGUUCCAGGAGAGGAGAGAAAGGGACAAAAACAAUAUUUGAAGAGCUACUGCUACUGCUGGAAGAAAUCAACUCAGAGUCAAGAGGUUCUCUGAACACUAUGCAAGGUAAAUACAAAUAAAAUCGCAUCUAGUUACAUCAUGGUAAAAGCAAAGAUAUUUUCAAAGUAGCAAGGUACACGGGUUGGGGGAAAUGUAGAGAAGAAACAUGAUUUCAAAGAGGCAAAAAUUAUUCUAGGCCGGGCACAGUGGCUCAGGCCUGUACUCCCAGUACUUUGGGAGGCUGAGGUGGGAUGAGCACAGGAGUUUGAGAUCAGCCUGGGCAACACAGUGAGACCCGAUCUCUACAAAAAUUAAAAUUAAAAAAUUAUUCAGGCAUGGUAGCGCACACCUGUAGUCCCAGCUACUUGGGAGGCUGAGGCAGGAGGAUCCCUUGAGUCCAAGGAGUUUGAGGCUGCAGUGAGCCGUGACUACACCACUGCACUGGGGCCUGAAUGACAGAGCAAGACCCUUUCACAAAAAAAAAAAAAAAAAUUAUUUUGACAGAAACCAGAUGACAAAUUUUAUCUUUAAAGUGCUGAGAGGAAAUAAUGUGACAUUAUUCGGGAAAAUAAUCUUCACAGAUGUGAUUAAGUGAAGGAUCUUGAGAUGAGGUCAUUCUGGAAUCCUGGACUGCCCAGGCUGGCUCUAAAUCCAAUGACAAGUGUCCUUAUAAAAAACACACAGGGCCGGGCACGGUGGCUCAGGCCUGUAAUCCCAGCACUUUGGGAGGCCAAUCACCUGAGGUCAGGAGUUUAAGACCAGCCUGGCCAACAUGGUGAAACCCUAUCUCUACUAAAAAUACAAAAAUUAGUCGGGCGUGGUGGCACGCACCACAUACCUGUAAUCCCAGCUGCUCAGGAGGC